UGGCCUUUUCCUGACAAUCCUCUCCAGGCUGCGGUCAUCCCUGCUGCUUGUGCACCUUUUUCUUCCACAUAACUUUCUAUUAAUGUGCUUUGAUACAGCACUUUGGGAACAUCCAACUUCCUUCACAAUUACCUUUUGAGACUUUCCCUCCUUAUGGAGGGUGUCAAUGAUGGUUUUCUGCACAACUGUCAGGUCAGCAGUCUUCCCC